rnacentral:misc_RNA from 1 species
UCCUAGUUAACCUAGGCAGUCUCACUAGAGUUCCCACCAUUACGUGCUGGCAACUAGUGACAAGGGUUGCGCUCGUUGCUGGACUUAACCAAACACCUCACGGCACGAGCUGACGACAGCCAUGCAGCACCUGUGCAGAAGCCCCGAAGGGAAAUACCGUUUCUGGUAUCGUCCUCUGCAUGUCAAGCCUGGGUAAGGUUCUUCGCGUUGCAUCGAAUUAAACCACAUGCUCCACUGCUUGUGCGGGUCCCCGUCAAUUCUUUUGAGUUUCACCCUUGCGAGCGUACUCCCCAGGCGGUAUACUUAUCGCGUUAGCUACGGCACAGUCAGGGUUGAGUCCGACUACACCUAGUAUACAUCGUUUAAGGCAAGGACUAC